UCAAGUGACUAAGUGCAUGCGGCGGAUGCCUUGGCGAUCACAGGCGAAGAAAGACGCGGUAGCCUGCGAAAAGCUGCGGGGAGCUGGCAAACGAGCUUUGAUCCGCAGAUAUCUGAAUGGGGGAACCCACACCGCAAGGUGUAUCCGUAGCUGAAUACAUAGGUUACGGAGGCGAACGAGGAGAACUGAAACAUCUAAGUAUCCUCAGGAAAAGAAAUCAACCGAGAUUCCGGCAGUAGCGGCGAGCGAACCCGGAGGAGCCUAGCUUUUGAUAGUACGAACUUUAGCCGAAAGGUCCUGGAAAGGCCUGCUAUAGUGGGUGAUAGCCCCGUAGGCGAAAGAGUUGGUACGGUACUAAGGAAGCGGGAAGUAGAGCGGGACACGUGGAAUCCUGUUCGAAGACGGGGGGACCAUCCUCCAAGGCUAAAUACUCGUGAUCGACCGAUAGUGAACCAGUACCGUGAGGGAAAGGCGAAAAGAACCCCGGGAGGGGAGUGAAAUAGAACCUGAAACCGCAUGCAUACAAACAGUAGGAGCCUCAUCAGAGGUGACUGCGUACCUUUUGCAUAAUGGGUCAGCGACUUACAUUCUGUGGCGAGCUUAACCGAAUAGGGGAGGCGCAGCGAAAGCGAGUUCGAAAUGAGCGUCCAGUCGCAGGGUGUAGACCCGAAACCAGAUGAGCUAUCCAUGGCCAGGUUGAAGGUGUGGUAACACACACUGGAGGACCGAACCGACUAGUGUUGCAAAAUUAGCGGAUGAGCUGUGGAUAGGGGUGAAAGGCCAAACAAAUCUGGAGAUAGCUGGUUCUCCCCGAAAACUAUUGAGGUAGUGCCUCGUGUGUCGCUCCAGGGGGUAGAGCACUGUUUUGGCUAGGGGGACAUGGAGUCUUACCAAACCAAGGCAAACUCCGAAUACCUGGAAGCGUAAGCACGGGAGACAGAGCACCGGGUGCUAACGUCCGGACUCAAAAGGGAAACAACCCAGACCGCCGGCUAAGGUCCCAAAUAACAGCUAAGUGGAAAACGAAGUGGAAAGGCCGUGACAACCAGGAAGUUGGCUUAGAAGCAGCCAUCCUUCAAAGAAAGCGUAAUAGCUCACUGGUCGAGUCCUUCUGCGCGGAAGAUGUAACGGGGCUAAGCUGUUAACCGAAGCCGCGGAUGCACUGGUUAUCCAGUGCGUGGUAGGGGAGCGUUCUGUAAGUCUGCGAAGGCGGUUCGAGAGGACUGCUGGAGAUAUCAGAAGUGCGAAUGCUGACAUGAGUAACGUUAAAGCAGGUGAAAAGCCUGCUCGCCGUAAGCCCAAGGAUUCCUGCUCUACGUUCAUCGGAGCAGGGUGAGUCGGCUCCUAAGGUCAGGCCGAAAGGCGUAGCCGAUGGGAAUCAGGUUAAUAUUCCUGAACCUGCGUCAGAUGCGAUGGGGGGACGGAGCAUGGAAGAUCAUCCGGGUGUUGGAAGUCCCGGUUGUUGAGCGUAGGGGGUCUGCAGGCAAAUCCGCAGACGCAUCUCCAAGGCAAAGACACGUGCCGCCACGGCGGCGAAGUGAUCGGAAGUGCUUCCAAGAAAAGCCUCUAAGCCCCAGUCUGACGCGGACCGUACCGCAAACCGACACUGGUGGGCGAGCUGAAUAUGCUCAGGCGCUUGAGAGAACUCGGGAGAAGGAACUCGGCAAAUUGACACCGUAACUUCGGAAGAAGGUGUGCCGUAGUACCGUGAGAGGAGAGACACCUUGAGCGGGAAACGGUCUCAGAGAAUAGGUGGCUGCGACUGUUUAUUAAAAACACAGCACUCUGCAAAGUCGAAAGACGACGUAUAGGGUGUGAUGCCUGCCCGGUGCUGGAAGAUUAAUUGAUGGGGUGAGAGCCCUUGAUCGAAGUCCCAGUAAACGGCGGCCGUAACUAUAACGGUCCUAAGGUAGCGAAAUUCCUUGUCGGGUAAGUUCCG
rnacentral:rRNA from 1 species